rnacentral:lncRNA from 1 species
AGGCUGACCGGCGGCAGCCCGCUGACAGGGGGUAAGGUGACGGGCGGGACGGGGAGCUUCGGGAUGGGGACCGACGGUAUACUGACAGGCGGCAGGGGCACCGACGGUAUGCUGACAGGCGGCAAGGGGACUGACGGUAUGCUGAUAGGGGGCAGGGGGACGCCGGUCGAGGGUGGCGAGCCGGACUCGCACGAGUGGCACUCCGGCUCCGCCUUCUCCCACGCGAGAGCGAGCGGGGACGAGGAGAGCGCGAGCAUGGCGAGCACCAGCA